GCGGAGGAAAAGAAACCAACAGGGAUUGCCCUAGUAACGGCGAGUGAAGCGGCAACAGCUCAAAUUUGAAAUCUGGCUCCUUUGGGAGUCCGAGUUGUAAUUUGCAGAGGGUGCUUUGGCAUAGGCGGCGGUCUAAGUUCCUUGGAACAGGACAUCGCAGAGGGUGAGAAUCCCGUACGUGGGCGCCUGCCUUUGCCGUGUAAAGCCCCUUCGACGAGUCGAGUUGUUUGGGAAUGCAGCUCUAAAUGGGAGGUAAAUUUCUUCUAAAGCUAAAUACCGGCCAGAGACCGAUAGCGCACAAGUAGAGUGAUCGAAAGAUGAAAAGUACUUUGGAAAGAGAGUCAAAAAGCACGUGAAAUUGUUGAAAGGGAAGCGCUUGCAGCCAGACUUGCCCGCAGUUGCUCACCUAGGCUUCGGCCUGGGGCACUCUUCUGCGGGCAGGCCAGCAUCAGUUUGGGCGGUUGGAUAAAGGCCUCUGUCACGUAUCUCUCUUCGGGGAGACCUUAUAGGGGAGGCGUAAUGCAACCAGCCCGGACUGAGGUCCGCGCAUCUGCUAGGAUGCUGGCGUAAUGGCUGUAAGCGGCCCGUCUUGAAACACGGACCAAGGAGUCUAACAUCUAUGCGAGUGUUUGGGUGUCAAGCCCGGGCGCGUAAUGAAAGUGAACGGAGGUGGGAACCGCAAGGUGCACCAUCGACCGAUCCUGAUGUCUUCGGAUGGAUUUGAGUAAGAGCAUAGCUGUUGGGACCCGAAAGAUGGUGAACUAUGCUUGAAUAGGGUGAAGCCAGAGGAAACUCUGGUGGAGGCUCGCAGCGGUUCUGACGUGCAAAUCGAUCGUCAAAUUUGGGCAUAGGGGCGAAAGACUAAUCGAACCAUCUAGUAGCUGG
rnacentral:sRNA from 1 species